rnacentral:rRNA from 1 species
AGUGAACGCUGGCGGUAGGCCUAACACAUGCAAGUCGAACGGCAGCACAGUAAGAGCUUGCUCUUACGGGUGGCGAGUGGCGGACGGGUGAGGAAUACAUCGGAAUCUACUUUUUCGUGGGGGAUAACGUAGGGAAACUUACGCCAAUACCGCAUACGACCUACGGGUGAAAGCAGGGGAUCUUCGGACCUUGCGCGAUUGAAUGAGCCGAUGUCGGAUUAGCUAGUUGGCGGGGUAAAGGCCCACCAAGGCGACGAUCCGUAGCUGGUCUGAGAGGAUGAUCAGCCACACUGGAACUGAGACACGGUCCAGACUCCUACGGGAGGCAGCAGUGGGGAAUAUUGGACAAUGGGCGCAAGCCUGAUCCAGCCAUACCGCGUGGGUGAAGAAGGCCUUCGGGUUGUAAAGCCCUUUUGUUGGGAAAGAAAAGCAGCAGGUUAAUACCCCGCUGUUCUGACGGUACCCAAAGAAUAAGCACCGGCUAACUUCGU